rnacentral:rRNA from 1 species
GGAGUUAGCCGGUGCUUCUUCUGCGAGUAACGUCACAGAUGUAAGGUAUUAACUUACACCCUUUCCUCCUCGCUGAAAGUGCUUUACAACCCGAAGGCCUUCUUCACACACGCGGCAUGGCUGCAUCAGGGUUUCCCCCAUUGUGCAAUAUUCCCCACUGCUGCCUCCCGUAGGAGUCUGGGCCGUGUCUCAGUCCCAGUGUGGCUGAUCAUCCUCUCAGACCAGCUAGGGGAUCGUCGCCUAGGUGAGCCUUUACCUCACCUACUAGCUAAUCCCACCUGGGCUUAUCCAUCAGCGCAAGGCCCGAAGGUCCCCUGCUUUCCCCCGUAGGGCGUACUGCGGUAUUAGCAGUCGUUUCCAACUGUUAUCCCCCACAAAUGGGCAAAUUCCCAGGCAUUACUCACCCGUCCGCCGCUCGUCAUCUUCAAAGCAAGCUUUGAAAUGUUACCGCUCGACUUGCAUGUGUUAGGCCUGCCGCCAGCGUUCAAUCUGAGCCAAACUCAAACUCUGA